UAUAAUAUAUCUUACAUUUUGCCCCACUGUGACCGUUGAUAACUCAUUUCACGUGUCUAGAUAGUAUUACGAGAGCCUCAUACAGGGCUUCAAGCUCCACUUACACUCGCCUCAAACAUCGUUCUGAGAUAUUGGUUUAUUUUUUUUACUGGUACUCGUAAAAAAGUCAGUCACAGUAGCUGUCGCUGUCGCUGUACUUGGUCAAGUCAUCAGAAAACGACGAUGUCGCUGUCCAAUAUGGCAUGCUUGAUUCCACACAGGUCUCACCAGUUAACUUCGCUCCACUGAUGCGCUUUUUUUCAAUUUGUCACGAGACAGAGAGUGUUGGAGUGACGGGAAAAGAGAGCGGGCUGGAGAGCGACCCACUUAAUUAAGUAUUUAUGAAAUUCAUAGAAAAAAUUAUAAUCUUUACUUUCGCUUGCAUGUGAAUGGACAAUCUAAUUAUGCAUUAAAUGACCAUUACUUUGGGGUUACGAAAACAA